UACGUAGGCAGCGAGCGUUGUUCGGAGUUACUGGGCGUAAAGAGUGCGUAGGCGGUUUUCUAAGUUUGGUGUGAAAUCUCCCGGCUUAACUGGGAGGGUGCGCCGAAGACUGGAAGGCUAGAGUAUGGGAGAGGUAAGCGGAAUUCCUGGUGUAGCGGUGAAAUGCGUAGAUAUCAGGAGGAACACCUGCGGUGUAGACGGCUUACUGGACCAUAACUAACGCUGAGGCACGAAAGCGUGGGUAGCAAACAGG
rnacentral:rRNA from 1 species